GGUUAUAAAUCAACGCAUUGAUUUAUAAGCAUGGAAAUCCCCUGAGUGAAACAACGAAUUGCUGUGUGUAGUCUUUGCCCAUCUCCCACGAUGGGCUUUUUUUUA
rnacentral:other from 1 species